AUGGACACUGAGAGCCGCCGGGUGAGGGAAGACCAGGAGAGAAUGGUGGAAAGAGAAACAACGCCAUUUCACUACAAUAGAAGGCAGAGCACUGGGCCACAGCUCCAGACCCGGCCCCUAGUGCUCCAUUUUACUGCUAAAUACUCGCAUGACUUGAAAACGUCACAAGUUCCCUGCAACUGUUCUCAUUCACCCGUAUAUCUGAAGAACCAUUCGGGCGGCUGUAUUGAGAACAGACUGCCAAAGCCAGGGGCAGAAGCAGGACAGACAGUUAGAAAAAUCCCGGGUGAAAGGUCAGGCAGCUCAAACCAAGGUAAGGGCAGCAGGAUCACUAAUGCUGAUCCUAGCGCGCGAAGCCCGCGAGGCGACCAGGAGCGGCUGGGUCCCCGGUGGCGCGCCCCUCGGUCGGGCGGGGAGCCUCGCCAGUCGGUGCACCCAGCCGAGCGUGGUCCGCCUCCCUCCCAGAAAUCAGCCAUUCGGAGCGUGACCAGAGGGCAUGCCGGAUCCACCAGAGGCGCCGCUGCCUGCGCUCGCAGGCUGCGGGUGAAAAAGAAGGCACGGCCUCGCUCGGCCCGGAGCGAAGAGGUGGCCGGGAGCGAAGAAAUGGCGGCAGCCGGGCUCAGCGUGACCAUCACUCACAGCAAUGAGAAGCACGAUCUUCAAGUUACCCCACAAGAAGGCAAUAGUGAGCCAAUUGUCCAAGACCUGGCCCAGGUUGUUGAAGAGGCUACAGGGAUUCCGCUGCCUUUUCAGAAACUCAUAUUUAAGGGAAAAUCUCGGAAGGAAAUGGAGAUGCCAUUGUCAGCACUUGGAAUACAAAAUGGUUGCCGGGUUAUGUUAAUUGGGAAAAAGAACGGUCCGGAGGAAGAAGCUAAGCUAAAGAAGCUGAAAGAUUUGGAAAAAUCUGUGGAGAAGAUAGCUGACCAGCUGGAAGAACUGAAAUAAGACCUUGCUGGAAUCCAGCAGGGUUUUCUGGCCAAGGAUUUGCAAGCUGAAGCUCUCUGCAAACUUGAUAGGAGAGUUAAAGCCACAAUCGAGCAGUUUAUGAAGAUCUUGGAGGAGACUGACAUGCUAAUUCUGCCAGAAAAUUUCAAAGACAGUACAAUGAAAAGGAAGGGUUUGGUGAAAAGGAUUCAGGCCUUCCUAGCUGAGUGUGACACAGUGGAGCAGAACAUCUGCCAGGAGACCCAGUGACCUCAGUCCACGAACGUGGCCCUCGCUGACUGAGGUGAGGCAGAGAAGGCCGUGCUGCAGUGAAGAACAGCCCCACCAGCUCUGCCAUCUCUGGAGCAGAAGUCACCCGCCUUCCCCAGAGCUGCUGGGGGCAACUGGCCCAUUGCCUUUCCCUUCUCUCACACCUG